AGUGCGCCCAACCCGACCGAAGGGGGCGAGCUGACCACGGUAGGCUCAGCGACUGGGGUGG
rnacentral:rRNA from 1 species